AUACGGAGGGUGCGAGCGUUAAUCGGAAUUACUGGGCGUAAAGCGCGCGUAGGCGGUUUGGUCAGUCGGAUGUGAAAGCCCUGGGCUCAACCUGGGAAUGGCAUUCGAUACUGCCUGACUAGAGUAUGGUAGAGGGAAGUGGAAUUUCCGGUGUAGCGGUGAAAUGCGUAGAUAUCGGAAGGAACACCAGUGGCGAAAGCGGUUCUCUGGCCCACCACUGACGCUGAGGAGCGAAAGCUAGGGGAGCAAACAGGAUUAGAUACCCGAGUAGUCC
rnacentral:rRNA from 1 species